CAACCUGCCCUUCAGAGGGGGACAACAGUUGGAAACGACUGCUAAUACCGCAUACGAUCUAAUCUCGGCAUCGAGGAAAGAUGAAAGGUGGCCUCUAUUUAUAAGCUAUCACUGAAGGAGGGGAUUGCGUCUGAUUAGCUAGUUGGAGGGGUAACGGCCCACCAAGGCGAUGAUCAGUAGCCGGUCUGAGAGGAUGAACGGCCACAUUGGGACUGAGACACGGCCCAGACUCCUACGGGAGGCAGCAUUG
rnacentral:rRNA from 1 species